GAUACUGGCGGACGGGUGAGUAACACGUGGGUAACCUGCCUGUAAGACUGGGAUAACUCCGGGAAACCGGGGCUAAUACCGGAUGCUUGAUUGAACCGCAUGGUUCAAACAUAAAAGGUGGCUUCGGCUACCACUUACAGAUGGACCCGCGGCGCAUUAGCUAGUUGGUGAGGUAAUGACUCACCAAGGCAACGAUGCGUAGCCGACCUGAGAGGGUGAUCGGCCACACUGGGACUGAGACACGGCCCAGACUCCUACGGGAGGCAGCAGUAGGGAAUCUUCCGCAAUGGACGAAAGUCUGACGGAGCAACGCCGCGUGAGUGAUGAAGGUUUUCGGAUCGUAAAGCUCUGUUGUUAGGGAGAACAAGUACCGUUCGAAUAGGGCGGCACCUUGACGGUACCAACCAGAAAGCCACGGCUA
rnacentral:rRNA from 1 species